rnacentral:lncRNA from 1 species
CGUAGGAGCCUCGGAGCCAGGUGCAGGACACAAUCUCCUGGUGCGCCAUUUUUUAAGCCCGUCGGAAAAGCGCAGUAUUCGGGUGGGAGUGACCCGAUCUUCCAGGUGAGCACUUGGGAUAUUUCAGAUGUUUCCCUGUUGUAAUGAAGCUUUUUAAAAAUGCUUUGCAAGUCUUUGGUUGUUUUUCAGUGACCCUCCAGAGGACUAAAGGAAAGUUUUGCUUCGCCCCUACAGUUUUGGCACUGUGAGCAGUAUACCAAAACUACUCCACCCUUCCGAAAGCCACAGUGAAGAAAACCCAAGGCCUGACAAGCCAGCAGAAGUGCAAAAAAGUUUUACCAAUCAGGUCAUUAGCCUCUAGCUCUGUGGAAUCUGGUUGAGUUCAUGACUGAUAGGUGGGAGGAACUUGCCUUGAGUCUCAAAUGAGAUUGGACUUUGAACCUUCAAGUUGAUGCUGGAAUGACUUAACAUUUUUGUGGACUAUUUGGAAGAGAUUAUUAUAAUUUGCAAGAUUGAAGAAAACAUUUUUAUCCCAGCUAUGUAUAGCUUACAACUGGGACACAACUGAAGACAAUACUUAUUUUUACCAAGGAUUUGAUUGGAACUUUAUACUUUAAAAUGUGAUCAGACUGCUUUUAAUAAUUGACAUUGACUUUAUAAAGCCAAUAGAUGUAGAAAAAGACAGCUUGUACCUUGUCUACAUGGCUUUUUUUUACCGGACUCCUGAUCUUGUCGUAAGGAAAGAAUGUCACUUUCUAGCAGGUGAGAACCUCAAGAUCUAUGGAAAACUCCAAGAAAAAAAAUUUACCCAAUACACACAGGCAUUACAGGCACAAUCUGUUAUGAAAUCCUUGGCUUGGCUCUUCAGGCUCAAGAGGCUUUUGAAAGUCUAACUUGAGACAGGAGGUGGAGUAAGAUGGCUGAAUAGAAGCCAGCAGCAAUUAUCUUACUAUAGUCACACCAAAGUGAACAAUUGUACACACAAGAAAGCACCUUUAUAAGAACCAAGAAAGAAUCAGGUGAGUGAUCACAGUAUUUGGUUUUAACAUAAUAUCAAGGAAAGAGUAACUGAAAAGGGCAGAAAAGACAAUUUUGUAUUGCCUACACAAUCCUUCCCCCUUCCCCAAGGAGCGUGAAAAGAG